GAAUUGCAGAAUCCCGUGAACCAUCGAGUCUUUGAACGCAAGUUGCGCCCGAAGCCAUUCGGCCGAGGGCACGUCUGCCUGGGCGUCACAC
rnacentral:rRNA from 1 species